CACCUUGCUUGAAUGUUUUUCUGGCUCAGAUUGGACAACUUCAAGAAGACACCCCUGGUUAUCUCACAGUUGUCAAGAUAAUAAAAUAAAUAUUGGCCUGGUUAUGGUCAAACCAGAAGUGAUUGGGCUGAGUUUUCAUAUGUUGAAGAGAAAAGCUAUUCAUGACAGUUGCUAAAGGUGGAAAGAAGACUUUAUUCAAGAGGGACAGUUGCAGUGGGGGUUUUUCAGUAGGGGAAAGAAAUCAGGCUCAACUCAGAAUACAACAAGGACAAGUGGAGAUUUAUAGUCAACAGGGUGGAAGAGGUCGGUGGAUGGAACAUUACUAUGAGGAAAUAUUAAAGCUAGGGAGACUCUUGCUAUAAUAAUUCAACAGGGUUCUUGCUGAAGGCAGGCCAGGGUGAUAAGAUAUCAGGCAGGUGAUGUUCACUAAACUGACCCAGCAGGAUUCUUGCUAAAACUGGACUAAGUAGGCCAAGGAAAGGGCCCAAGUUUGGGGCCUAGUUGAGAGAGCGCUGAGUCAGUUUUGUCAGGGAGAGGAUCCUUGUCACGUGCUCAGCUUCCAUGCCUGUGGUAAUGUCCCAGCCCUGCUCAGAAGCUUUCAGUGACUCCACACUGAUCUAGGGUGAAGUUUUCCCCUGCCUCCUUCCUUCUUGAGCAUCUCCUCUGUGCCAAGUUGAGUAGUAGAGCUGUGAUAUGGUUUGGCUGUGUCCCCAUCCAAAUCUCAUCUUGAAUUGUAAUCCACAUUUUCCCCAUGUGUUGAGGGAGGAACCUGGUGGGAGGUGAUUGGAUCAUGGGGGCAGUUUCUGCCAUGCUGUUCUCGUGAUAGUGAGUUUUCAAGAGAUCUGAUGGUUUUAUUAGGAGCUCUUCCCGCUUCGCUCAUUCAUACUCUCUCACCUGCUGCUAUGUAAAACCUGCCUUUGCUUCUCUCUUGCCUUCUGCCAUGAUCAUAGUUUCCUGAGGCCUCCCUAGCCAUGCAGAACUGUGAGUCAAUUAAACCUCUUCCCUUUAUAAAUUACCCAGUCUAGGGUAUGUCUUUACAGUAGUGUGAGAACACACUAAUACAAGCUGAAUACACAAGUUGCCUCCAGAAGCUGAUGGUCUAGCAAGGGAAACAGCCAUUCCAACAGCAGAUUAAAGCCUUAUAAUUAAAUAAUAAUGUGGUAACUUGUGAGAAGUGCUUAGAAUAGUGCCUGACACAUAACAAGUACUCAAUAAAUAUGGCUUUUCUUAAUACUGCUGUUGUCUAUCACGUGGCCUUCUAUCAUGAGGUUUUAUCUGACCCCUGAUCCACUCCUACUAUCACCCGUUAGACAUCCAGGUUGAAUCCUCCUUUUCUAUAAGGUAUUUCUAAUUAUCUUCAAAUUUCUUCCUUUAAAUCCUUAGCAUUUUGUUUAGUCUGUCUUGUAACUCUUAGAGCUUUCUACUUGGAAUUAUGAUGACAUUUUUUUAUUCCCUCUUUUUUUUUUUUCUUUUUUCUUUCUUUCUUUCUUUUUUUUUUUUUUUUUUUUUUGAGACAGAGUCUCACUCUGUCGCCCAGGCUGGAGUGCACUGGCGCAAUCUCGGCUCGCUGCAACCUCCGCCUCCUAGGUUCAAGCGAUUCUUCUGCCUCAGCC
rnacentral:lncRNA from 1 species